GGUGAUCGGGGACUUCUGGGACCCAAGGGAGAAAGAGGGGAGCGCAGGACAAUUUUUGGACCCCAAGGCUAUAAAGGCAGUAAAGGAGACCCUGGGGAGCAGGGUCUGCCAGGUUUUGAUGGAGACAAAGGCGAGAAGGGAGAGGAUGGACCCGUAGGAGAAAAGG